CAGCCGCCGCGGUAAUACGUAGGUGGCAAGCGUUGUCCGGAAUUAUUGGGCGUAAAGCGCGCGCAGGCGGAUCAGUCAGUCUGUCUUAAAAGUUCGGGGCUUAACCCCGUGAUGGGAUGGAAACUGCUGAUCUAGAGUAUCGGAGAGGAAAGUGGAAUUCCUAGUGUAGCGGUGAAAUGCGUAGAUAUUAGGAAGAACACCAGUGGCGAAGGCGACUUUCUGGACGAAAACUGACGCUGAGGCGCGAAAGCCAGGGGAGCGAACGGGAUUAGAGACCCCAGUAGUCCCUGUCUCUUAUACA
rnacentral:rRNA from 1 species